rnacentral:lncRNA from 1 species
UUUUAUUCUGAGGUACUGAAAACAAAGAAGCCUAGCAGAGGAAAACAGGAGAACAUGUAAAAGAACUUAAGGGGCCAGGAUUUUACCCACACCUCAAGAGCCUGUGCGUCUGAAGGAGAAGGCUGAUUCUACCUUUGAUGGUCUGUUUUUCUCUACCUGCAUGCACAGGAAAAGGCAGCCCUGCAUCACUUCAGAUUAGGACCUGAGUGGUGUCUGAAUUGCACUGCAGGGGCUGCUCUGAUACCACACUGUUUUAUGAGUGAUGAGGUCUGGCAAGAAAAGCAGGUUUUAGCCAUGAAGUUGCUGUAAGACAGACCUAUUCACCUUCAGCCAUAGAAGGGAUUAUUUAUUUACCAAGAUGGAUAUUGACACCCAGAAAAGUAUUUGGAUGUAAUCUUUCUUUCUGGUGACAAUUCUUGGCAAUCAAUUUUUUUUUUCUUGCAGAAUAGUAAGAAUGUAAUUACUGCUUAUUUUUCAAUAGGAGAAAUAAUUCUUUGGGGUGUUUUCUAAUUUGUUUUCCUUUGGAUUCCAGUCACUCUUACGGGUCCCGUCUGUUUGAGAGUCACUUCCCUGGGUAUUUUGCAUCCUCUCAGUGAGAAUCAAAUGAAAAGUUGGGGAGUGACUGGACAUGUAGACAUUUUUCAUUCCUUUCCUGAAGAAAGUCUGUAAGAGAAGGAUUCAGAGUUGUUACAGAGGUAACAGAAACUGAAGCAUUUGCACCAGGUGUUCUACAGUCUCAGGUAAAAUAA